rnacentral:rRNA from 1 species
AGUGAACGCUGGCGGUAGGCCUAACACAUGCAAGUCGAACGGCAGCACAGUAAGAGCUUGCUCUUACGGGUGGCGAGUGGCGGACGGGUGAGGAAUACAUCGGAAUCUACUUUUUCGUGGGGGAUAACGUAGGGAAACUUACGCUAAUACCGCAUACGACCUACGGGUGAAAGCAGGGGAUCUUCGGACCUUGCGCGAUUGAAUGAGCCGAUGUCGGAUUAGCUAGUUGGCGGGGUAAAGGCCCACCAAGGCGACGGUCCGUAGCUGGUCUGAGAGGAUGAUCCGCCACACUGGAACUGAGACAGGGUACAGACUCCUACGGGAGGAAACAGUGGGGAAUAUUAGACAAUGGGCGCAAGCCUGAUCCAGCCAUACCGCGUGAGUGAAGAAGGCGUUCGGGUUGUAAAGCCCUUUUGUUGGGAGAGAAAAGCAGCAGGUUAAUACCCCGCUGUUCUGACGGUACCCAAAGAAUAAGCACCGGCUAACUUCGUG